rnacentral:lncRNA from 1 species
GACUUCCCACGAGCAUCCAUAAGAACAGGGUGCAGAAAUCCUUGGAGCCUUUGGUCUGAUGCAGCAGGAAUCCUCUUAUGUUUUUAUAAUCUGAUUCCAGACUCAUGGUUGGAUCCUUGUAUUGAAUUAGGUGAGACAUACUCUUUUGUCUAAUGUAAUGUACUUCAAUGUGUAAUGUAAUGUUCAAUGCAACAGAAUUGAUUUGGCUGCAUCCCUGCCCCAUAAGGCAGGAGAAAAGUCCUGUUGCUCUGCUGUGACCUCCCUGCCAAUUUAGAUACAGUGACUGAACUGGAGGCCCCUCGACUGACUUCAGGUCCAGUGUUGGACCAUUUCGAUCGGAUACUCCCUACUGAUGUGGAUAGAUUCCUCCAAGUUGAUAGGCCCACCACCUGCCUCCUUGAUCCGUGCCCGUCUUGGCUGAUUAGGGAGUGUCCAGAUGUUGCGCGGAGCCCCCUGGUUGAAAUGAUCAAUUUGUCCCUUGACACGGGGACAUUCCCAGGGGAACUGAAGGAAGCAGUGGUGUAUCCACUCUUAAAGAAAACUUCAUUAGAUCCCUUAGACCUAUCCAAUUACCACCCAGUUUCAAAUCUUCCAUACCUUGGUAAGGUAAUUGAGAGAGCGGUUGCUGAACAGCUUGGUAGGUUUCUGGAGGAAACAUCGGCAUUAGAUCCAUUUCAGUCCGGUUUCCGUCCUGGUUUUGGGACGGAGACGGCUCUGGUUGCCCUAACAGAUGAUCUCCGUAGACAACUGGAUCGAGGCGGGUCAGGACUGCUGAUCCUUUUAGGUUUGUCAGCAGCCUUUGACAUGGUCGAUCAUGAUCUUCUGGACCACCGCCUCGCAGACGUGGGGAUACAGGGCAUAGCCCGUAACUGGUUGUGCUCUUUUAUCUCUGGUCGGGGACAGAGGGUGGCACUAGGGAGGGAAAUGUCGUCGCGCCACUCCUUGGUGUGUGGAGUGCCGCAGGGCACAAUUCUCUCCCCGAUGCUUUUUAACAUCUUUAUGCGGCCCCUUGCCCAGAUUAUCCGGAGCUUUGGGCUGGGCUGUCACCAAUAUGCUGAUGACACUCAGCUCUAUCUGCUGAUGGAUGGCCACACCGACUCAGCCCCAAGCACACUGACCAGAUGCUUGGAAGCUGUAGCUGGAUGGUUUCGUGGGAGCCGAUUGAAACUAAAUCCUUCAAAGACAGAGGUCCUAUGGCUAGGUCAGGAUGGCAUGGGGAUGAGGGACCAACUCCCUUCUCUUGCGGGGGCCCAAUUAGUGCCAUUGCCUUCCGUUAAGAGUUUGGGUGUAAUCCUUGACGCCUCCCUUCCAUGGAGGCGCAAGUUACAGCAACAGCCAAGGCGACAUUUUUCCACCUUCGCCGCAUCAAGCAGUUGGUCCCUUACCUUUCCCGCCCCGACCUGGCCACAGUGAUCCAUGCGACGGUCAUCUCCAGGCUUGACUACUGUAAUUCGCUCUACGCGGGGCUGCCCUUGAAGCUGUCCCAGAAACUCCAGCAGGUACAGAAUGCUGCAGCGAGGCUCCUCACGGGGUCUCUGCCAUGGGAGCAUAUUCACCCAGUGCUUUUCAAGCUGCACUAGCUCCCGGUGGAGUACAGGGUCAGAUUUAAGGUGCUGGUUUUGAUCUUUAAAGCCCUUCAUGGCCUAGGACCCAAGUGGUCCCAGGCCCUAAGGAAGUUAGAGUGGCUUCAACCAGAGCCAGGGCCUUUUCAACUCUGGCUCCGGCCUGGUGGAACGCUCUGCCUCAUGAGACCAGGGCCCUGCAGGAUCUGAUUUCUUUCCGCAGAAUCCGAGACCAGGGAGAAGAAUCGGUGGAAGAAGACUGGAAAAAGUUUAAAGACUAUUUACAGAAAUACUGUAAAAUUAAUGAAUGUUAGAAAAAUGUUGGAAUGAAUUUAUAUGGCUUUAGUAGAAAUGUUAUAAGGAAUUAAGUAUAAAUAGAUUAAUAGAGUAUUAAAGGGAAAAUAAGGUUAGAAUGUGUUAAGAUAAUUAUAGGAUAGAAAACAGAGGAAGAUGGAAAGGAAUUGCUGAAACAAUUAACAGAAGUGGAAUACAAAAAGGGAGGUGUGAGGAGGUUGUGGAAACAAGUGAAUGAAAGAUAAGAUAAUGAAAUGGUUUGAUGUGUUUUAAAUGGGUUUUGUUUUUGUUUUAUUAGUUUUAUGUGUUAGUGUUUUGUAGUGUUUUUGUAUUGUAUUGCAUUGUCUUCUUUUUUUAGGUUUUUUCUUUUGUAGUGUUGUGUUUAAAUUGUUGGAAAAUUUAUAAAUAUUAUAUAUAUAUAUAUAUAAAAAAGAUUUCUUUCCGCAGGGCCUGUAAGACAGAGUUGUUCCGCCUGGCCUUUGGCUUGGAGCCAAUUUGAUUCCCUCCCUCCCUCUCUUUUUUUCUUUUCCUUCUCCUCCUGCGAUGAGGCUACAUUUUAAUAUUUUAAUGUUCCAUUAUUUUAAUGUUGUAUUUUAUUUUUGUUUUUAAGUUGUAAUCAUUCAUCUUGUUUUUAUUAUUGCUUGUAAGCCGCUCUGAGCCCAGCCUUGGCUGGGGAGGGCGGGGUAUAAAUAAAUUAUUAUUAUUAUUAUUAUUAUUAUUAUUAUUAUUAUUAUUAGUGAUGGGCCAUACCCACACCAUACAUUUAAGGCAAUAGACAGUCCCAAAGAAUCCUGGGAAGUAUAGUUUCUUAGGGGUGCUGAGAGUUGUUUAGAGUCCCCUAUUCUUCUCACGGAGCUACAGUUCCCAGAGUUCCUUAGGAAGAGAGCGUGAUUGUUAAACCUCAUGGGUGGGCUAGCCCUGUGUAGUUCUGUGCUGGGAAUAGGGAUCACCUAACAAAUCUCAGCAUCCUUAACACACUACAGCUCCCAGAUUUCUUUGGAGGAAGCCAUGGCUGUUUAAAGUGGUAUAAUACUGCUGACAUGGACGUGGCCGUGGUUUGCUUUUUUUACAGCUCUCCUCAUUUCCCAUAGAAGCAGCCUGACUUGGAAAUCUAUUUGGAUUUGGCUGUGUAUAUGACAACUUUUCUGUCCCCCUGUCUUCAAAGCUGCUUGCAGUCAUAAAAAGUAACUUAAUAAAAGC